ACGCACCUGGAUCACCUUUACCUGCGGACACACGGUUUACCUCAGGACACGUUUAUUUACGUUACGUUACGAAAACGCCUCUCAUUUGAGCUAAUGACUGUUUAAAGAGAAAGAAAAAAAGAAUAGAUAAACGACCGAAAUUGUUGGUUUAUUUUUUUGUUUAUUUAUAAAUAUAUUUGAGGGACAUCCUGAUGGAGGAGCCGGUUCUGGGCGGUUUGGGCCGGUGCUCGUGCGCGUUCUGGCUGGCCGUGGCGUUCGACGCGUGCGGCCUCGUCGUGCUUCUGCUCGGGGUUUUCGCCAACAUCUUCUUCUACGACUUUCUCAUCUACGCGGGCGCCAUCGUCAUCUUCCUCAGCCUGAUCUGGUGGGUUUUCUGGUACACGGGGAACAUCGAGGUGCCCCCGGAGGAGCUCGAGGACGACGUGGGUCUGCUGAAGAAGAAGGAAAAAGGGCUCGCCGGCGUCCUGAGGAGGUUCUCGAGCCGAAUCAGGAGCUCGGUGAGGAGAAACGGGACCGCCAUGUCGGGUCAGGGCUCACGGAGCCAACAUGGCGGCCGGGGGGCGGUAGUGGUCAACGUGUCCAUGACGCCUCCACAACAACAACAACAACAACAACAAGAAGAACUGAGCACUGUUUCUGCCACUGUGGCUACAGAAACUUCACCCAUAUGAGCCUUAAAUCCCAGCGACCAGAAGAGGAAGAAUUUCCCAAUGGAGCCGAACUCGCAACUGCCUAUUUAUUCUCUGCCAGUUCCCACACCAUGAUUCAGCUCUCAAUGUUGCACGUACAGCAGGGGGCGCUGUGUCUUUCUCGGGCAUUACAACGUUCAAUCGUGAAUUUGUGUGCAGCCGAUGUCUUCGAACACACCUUAUCGGUCUUACACAAGUGUGUUAUCGUAGCCGUGCGGUUGCAGGCUGAUCCGCGUACAGUUCCUCGUGCUGUUUUAACUUCCGCCUCCGUCCUGUUCUCUAUAAAAUGUCACCUUUGAACAGAGAGGAGUGUCUGACUUCCUCUUAUCUGGGUUUGCUCGUCAGGCCGCAUUUACAGAAAGACGCAGACGAUGCGAUGUGAGGAAGCGGCAGAGGUUCCAUUAUCCGGGCAAAUUGAUCUGGGUUUAACUGUUUCGUUCACAGUGGUUACUAAGCAAAAUGACCUUUGACCUUGAGCCUGAGUAGUCGCACACUGAGACAUUAUUGUUAUGGUUAUUUAGGAGGCAUUCAUACUGUAUGUUUUGAUAGAGUGUAGGACAUAAUAGCAAGAAUAAAUGAGGACACGCACACACAACACUAAGAUGCCUGGUUGUUUAUUACAGGUGUAUAAACAGAGAUAGUGUUCAGUUAUUUGACCGAGGUGUCUAAUCGACUAAAAUAAUUACAGCCUUGUUUAAAGGAAAACACCACCCUGGACAAUUUCCACGUUAAUGUUUAUAACGAACACGUAAUCUUUAACCACAUCCAGGAUCUAUUUUGGAAUAAAAUUCUGUCGACAUUUUUAUUAGUUAUAGUUAUUAUAGUGGCGCAGGGGGAUUUAGCCCCUCGCUUCAUCUCUACCUAAAGAGAGCGAUGCGGAUGCAGCGGCGCUUUAGCCUUUUAGUCUGUCCCACUCUCUCACCUCGUCAUCUGUACGCUCACCACAAAUGUUUCAGUAUAAACAGAUUUCAUGUGUUUCUGGGUGGAGGAUUCUUAUAAUGGGCCUGGUCUGCCCAGCUGUAGUUAGUUAAGAGUGUAGACA